rnacentral:rRNA from 1 species
UACGUAGGGCGCAAGCGUUGUCCGGAAUUAUUGGGCGUAAGAGCUCGUAGGCGGUUUGUCGCGUCUGCUGUGAAAACCUAAGGCUCAACCUUGGGCUUGCAGUGGGUACGGGCAGACUAGAGUGCGGUAGGGUGACUGGAAUUCCUGGUGAUAGCGGUGGAAUGCGCAGAUAUCAGGAGGAACACCGAGUGGCGAAGGCAGGUCACUGGGCCGCAAC